GAAACAACAGCUGGAGCUUUUCCUGGGCUCCUGGAUUGAUAAUACCCUCAGGGUGCAGAGCACAUGCCAGGACCUUGUUAGUCUGACCUUCCAGUAGUUGAUUCCUGGGACAGAAUUUGACAUCAAUUUGUUUGUGAUUCCUGUUGCCUACAGGAAUCUGUCCUUCAUAAAUGCUUGAGGUUUUACUGAAGCUAGCUCAGGAAGGAUUCUGACUUUGUUGGCAUGUCUCCACCAUAAUGUAUCAUGUAUCAUGGAGGCAGAGGCAGGGUUGACAGUUUGAGUGUAGUCUGGACUUCAAGGAGAGACACCGUCUCACCAAACCAAACAAUGGGCAAACUUCUCAAGGAUAGUAUCUAUCAGUAAGAAUGGAGCCUGGCCAGUGAACGCUAGUCAUGGUAUAUUCUUACCUGCAAGCAAACUCUUAAUUUCAAAGCAUGGGGGUUAAACUAGCAAAUAUGAAGAGAUAGCUCAGGGUUAGAAGACUUUCUGCUCUUGCAGAGAACCCAGGUUUGGUUCUCAGCACCCACAUGACUCUCAUGACCAUUUGUAACUCCAGUUCCAGGUUAUCAAGUGUCUUCCUUUAGAAUCUGUAAGCUGGACAUGUGAGCUAUGUCCAUACAUACAUUCAAAGGGACACUCAAGCUCAUUAAAAAAUCAUUAAAACAUCCUAAGCAACUGAAGGAUUUUCUGUAUGCAGAUUAGAAAGGGUAACACCCUAGCUGACUCUCACCAGAUCCUCUCAGAUUGGUGUCAUCAAUUGUAUGCAGUAUAGCGAAUGGAAAUAGAGGUUUGGCCUAGUAUGGGAAGUAAUUGCCUCAGGUAUGCAAAUAAUCCUGAAGGCUAGGCCCUAAACAUAUUACCUCUCAUAAGGACAAUUUGUGCCUUCAAAGGGCAAGCAAGCAAAACAAAACAAAACAAAACAAAACAAACCCAAAGACAGUAAUUAUGCUUGUGUUUCCCCUUCCCCCACAAGCUUUGUCCAGUGGAUGAGAGCGUGUGCCGGCCAUGACAUCAUUAGACACACCAUGGUGGCUCUGGAGUAUGAAGUAGCUGCUCUCACAGACAGAGAGGACGCUGUUGCUGUCCUCAUUUAUCUUUAAGCUCCUCUACUGUAUCCUUCAUCAUGAUCUUGUUAAUAAUGCCAGGCCACCGAGGACUUGCAGUUGAUGAAAUUUUAUCUUACCAGCUUUCCAGUGGGCCUCACCUGCAGAAAUUCCAGCCUUCCUUAAUUAAAAUUUGAUUCUCAAAGGAAUCCACUAUAUGUGUAUUAUAAUACAAGGAAUGAUCAUGCUGGGUCUGUGGCUACAUCUGUUUAGAUGUGGACACAGGUAGCUUUGGGUUAUCUCCUGUCAUUACCAAGACAGUAUCCAAGGAGAGGUUCCUCUGUGUGUGUGUGUGUGUGUGUGUGUGUGUGUGUGUGUGUGUGUGUGUGGUGCCCACAUGGAAGUAUUUGUGUGCACAUUGUUAGUUAGGCUAGUACAGGAUAUCCUCUGUCACUCUCCAGGUUGUUCUCUGGAGGCAGGCUCUCUCACCAGGCUGGAAGUCCAACUUUUCAGCUAGCCUAACAGGCCAAGGCAUUCCCAGGAUGGCCUGGCUCUCCUGUCCUAUAAUGGGGGUGACAGGCACAUGCAACCAUGCCUGGCUUUAAAUGGGUGCCUAGGAUCUGAACUCAGGUCCUCAUGCUUGCAUGAACCAUCUCCCUGGUGAACCAUCUCCCUACUGCCCAAGAUUCUGAUGGCCCCAUUAAAAUACAUGUAGCCCAGGAUGGCUUCAAGCUCACUGUGCACCUGAGGCAAGCUUUGAGAUCCUGGUCUUCCAGCUUCCAGGAUUACAGGCGUAAGGCAGUGCCUGCAGCCUGUCUGUACUGGAGGUCAGAUUGAUGGCAAUGCGUAAAAGCCUAACUGCUCAAUUCCAUAUUCUUUGUAAAUGAAACUACAGCUAAGACGGAAGCCAUUCCUAAAGCGGUGCUUAUAGACUUAAUAACAGAUUCACUGACUUCGUGGAGCAGUGAUGUCUCUAC
rnacentral:lncRNA from 1 species